rnacentral:misc_RNA from 1 species
AAGUCGUAACAAGGUAACCGUAGGUGAACCUGCGGUUGGAUCAUUAAAAAACAGGGUUCAGAAAAGAACCAUGAAAACCUGUGCAAAAGUGUUAAUUGGGGUCAAUAGACGCAAUUUUUUAACUCUAAAUUUUAGUUGUUAUUAUAAAUUAUAAAUAUUAUAAAACAACUUUUGACAACGGAUCUCUUGGCUCUC